UACGAAGGGGGCGAGCGUUGUUCGGAAUCACUGGGCGUAAAGCGCACGCAGGCGGACCGAUAAGUCGGGGGUGAAAGCCCGGGGCUCAACCUCGGAAUUGCCUUCGAUACUGUCCGUCUCGAGUCCGGGAGAGGUGGGUGGAAUUCCUAGUGUAGAGGUGAAAUUCGUAGAUAUUAGGAAGAACACCGGUGGCGAAGGCGGCUCGCUGGGGCGGUACUGACGCUCAGGUGCGAAAGCGUGGGGAGCAAACAGG
rnacentral:rRNA from 1 species